rnacentral:rRNA from 1 species
ACGGCCAUACUACAUUGAAAACACCGGUUCUCGUCCGAUCACCGAAGUUAAGCAAUGUCGGGCCCGGUCAGUACUUGGGAGGGUGACCACUUGGAAAACUGGGUGCUGUAGGCU